AAAUGUCUUUAUUCAAUAGUCUGUCUUACAAUGAAAACCCUCUCGCUAUUUAUAGCUGACAUUGCCUAUAAACAAGGAAAUAAAAUAAAAAAGCUAGAAAUUCUUUAAGAAUAAACUCUAAUUGCUUUUUGUAAAGUAAGUGUCCAAAGUUGGCAGCUAUUCAAAAAAACAUCUUUAUUGAUCUCUAUCAACACUCCAAUCUAAUACUUAUAUCCAAAAUGUUAGUAAUCUCUAAUGGCUAGUUAAGGAACUAACUUAGUUCCACAUUCCACAAGUACUAUGUCCAAUAAUGUUUAACAACGAAAAUUUCGUUGCACAAUAUGGAAAAUCUGAUAUAAAUGCUUGUAAAUAAAAAAUGAUUCAAGUUACUGUGUGAAAAUAGAAGCUAUGCCAUCUUUGCCUGCUAGCAUAAUAAUCA
rnacentral:lncRNA from 1 species